UACGGAGGGUGCGAGCGUUAAUCGGAAUUACUGGGCGUAAAGGGCGCGUAGGCGGCACGAUCAGUCUGAUGUGAAAGCCCCGGGCUUAACCUGGGAACUGCGUUGGAUACUGUCGAGCUAGAGUUUGAUAGAGGGGAGUGGAAUUUCCGGUGUAGCGGUGAAAUGCGUAGAGAUCGGAAGGAACACCAGUGGCGAAGGCGACUCCCUGGAUUAAAACUGACGCUGAGGUGCGAAAGCGUGGGUAGCAAACAGG
rnacentral:rRNA from 1 species